CCUACGGGAGGCAGCAGUGGGGAAUAUUGGGCAAUGGGCACAAGCCUGACCCAGCAACGCCGCGUGAAGGAAGAAGGCUUUCGGGUUGUAAACUUCUUUUAAGGGGGAAGAGCAGAAGACGGUACCCCUUGAAUAAGCCACGGCUAACUACGUGCCAGCAGCCGCGGUAAUACGUAGGUGGCAAGCGUUGUCCGGAUUUACUGGGUGUAAAGGGCGUGCCGCCGGAGAGACAAGUCAGAUGUGACAUCCACGGGCUCAACCCGUGAACUGCAUUUGAAACUGUUUCCCUUGAGUGUCGGAGAGGUAAUCGGAAUUCCUUGUGUAGCGGUGAAAUGCGUAGAUAUAAGGAAGAACACCAGUGGCGAAGGCGGAUUACUGGACGAUAACUGACGGUGAGGCGCGAAAGCGUGGGGAGCAAACAGGAUUAGAUACCCGGGUAGUC
rnacentral:rRNA from 1 species